AAACCAGCACCUCAAGUGGUCAGGAUGAUUAUUGGGCCUAAAGCAUCCGUAGCCUGCUCUGUAAGUUUUCGGUUAAAUCUGUACGCUUAACGUACAGGCUGCCGGAAAUACUGCAGAGCUAGGGAGUGGGAGAGGUAGACGGUACUCGGGAGGAAGUGGUAAAAUGCUUUGAUCUCUCGAUGACCACCUGUGGCGAAGGCGGUCUACCAGAACACGUCCGACGGUGAGGGAUGAAAGCUGGGGGAGCAAACCGGAUUAGAAACCCGGGUAGUCC
rnacentral:rRNA from 1 species